rnacentral:lncRNA from 1 species
CAAGGAGGCACCUGUGCCCUGUUCAAGGCUUACCUUAAGAUCAUAGAUAUUUCAAGAUGAUGAUUUAUUCCCAUAGCACAUUGAGCUCCAGAAACAAAAUGGGCUUGAACUUGUCUAAAUUACCCACUAUGCACUGCAUGAAAAAUAAUAUCAGCACAGUUAUCAAAUCAAUCAAAGAAUUAAGGAGGAAGAGCUGAUCAUAGCCAUAUGUUGCUUGGGAAAGAACGUGUCAACAGUUGAUCAGUGUAACCAAUCUGUGAACCAAAUCCGUAGUCUUUCUGAGAGCUAUUUGAUGAAAGAGAUGCUUUAGAUGGUUGAAAUUUUAACCUGCAGAUUGAGUGUUUAUGUAGAUGCAU